UCUUUUUGUUAUAUAUAUAAAGUCUAACCUGCUCAAUGAGGUAUUAAAUGGCCGCGGUAUAUUGACCGUGCUAAGGUAGCAUAAUCAUUAGUUUUUUAAUUAAAAGCUGGAAUGAAAGGUUGAAUGAAAAAAUAACUGUCUAUUUUUAAUUAUUUUAAAAAUUUAUUUUUAAGUUAAAAAGCUUAAAUUUAUUUAAAAGACGAGAAGACCCUAUAGAGUUUAAUUUUUAAUUUAUAGAGAAAGAUAUAGAAUUUUAAUUUAUAUGUAAGUUAAUAAUUUAAUUGGGGUGAUUGAAAAAUUUAAUUAACUUUUUUUAUAUUUUUAUAUAUUUAAAUAGGUUUAUGAUCCAGUAAUUUUGAUUACAAGAAAAAAUUACCUUAGGGAUAACAGCGUAAUUUUAUUUUAUAGUUCUAAUUGAAAAUAAAGAUUGCGACCUCGAUGUUGGAUUAAAA
rnacentral:rRNA from 1 species